UGGGACAUGUCAGCUAUGGCCUGGACCCCUCUCCUCCUUGGCCUCCUCGCUCACUGCACAGGUUCUGUGGCUUCCUAUGAGCUGACUCAGCCACCUUCAGCGUCAGUGUCCCCAGGACAGACAGCCAGUAUCACCUGCUCUGGAGAUGAAUUGGGGGAUAAAUAUGCUUACUGGUACCAGCAGAAGCCAGGCCAGGCCCCUGUGCUGGUCAUCUAUCAAGAUAGCAAGCGGCCCUCAGGGAUCCCUGAGCGAUUCUCUGGCUCCAACUCGGGGAACACGGCCACCCUGACCAUCAGCAGGGCUGAGGCCAGGGAUGAGGCUGACUAUUACUGUGCUACAUAUCAUGGCAGUGGGAGCAGCUGGCAGUGACUCACAGUGACACGGACAGAUGGAGACACGGGACAGAAACCUCUGCCUUAACGUGAUGUCACUCUUAGCCGCCCUCUAAGCGAUGACCGUGACCUUCACUUCAACUGACUCUGCCUGUUUCUCCUGCAGCCCAAGCAAGAGGAAAUUUGCAUCAGAUUUUUAUUUUUAUCG